UGGGGAAUCUUGGACAAUGGGCGCAAGCCUGAUCCAGCCAUGCCGCGUGAGUGAAGAAGGCCUUCGGGUUGUAAAGCUCUUUUGUCAGGGACGAUAAUGACGGUACCUGAAGAAUAAGCCCCGGCAAACUUCGUGCCAGCAGCCGCGGUAAUACGAAGGGGGCUAGCGUUGUUCGGAAUUACUGGGCGUAAAGCGCACGUAGGCUGAUUGUUAAGUCAGGGGUGAAAUCCCAGAGCUCAACUCUGGAACUGCCCUUGAUACUGGCAAUCUCGAGUCCGGAAGAGGUUAGUGGAAUUCCCAGUGUAGAGGUGAAAUUCGUAGAUAUUGGGAAGAACACCAGUGGCGAAGGCGGCUAACUGGUCCGGUACUGACGCUGAGGUGCGAAAGCGUGGGGAGCAAACAGGAUUAGAUACCCCCGUAGUCCCUGAGCGGGCUGGCAAGGCGCAU
rnacentral:rRNA from 1 species